rnacentral:rRNA from 1 species
AAAGUCUGACCGAGCAACGCCGCGUGAGUGAAGAAGGUUUUCGGAUCGUAAAGCUCUGUUGUAAGUCAAGAACGUGUGUGAGAGUGGAAAGUUCACACAGUGACGGUAGCUUACCAGAAAGGGACGGCUAACUACGUGCCAGCAGCCGCGGUAAUACGUAGGUCCCGAGCGUUGUCCGGAUUUAUUGGGCGUAAAGGGAGCGCAGGCGGUCAGGAAAGUCUGGAGUAAAAGGCUAUGGCUCAACCAUAGUGUGCUCUGGAAACUGUCUGACUUGAGUGCAGAAGGGGAGAGUGGAAUUCCAUGUGUAGCGGUGAAAUGCGUAGAUAUAUGGAGGAACACCAGUGGCGAAAGCGGCUCUCUGGUCUGUCACUGACGCUGAGGCUCGAAAGCGUGGGUAGCGAACAGGAUUAGAUACCCUGGUAGUCCACGCCGUAAACGAUGAGUGCUAGGGGUUAGGCCCUUUCCGGGGCUUAGUGCCGGAGCUAACGCAAUAAGCACUCCGCCUGGGGAGUACGACCGCAAGGUUGAAACUCAAAGGAAUUGACGGGGGCCCGCACAAGCGGUGGAGCAUGUGGUUUAAUUCCGAAGCAACGCGAAGAACCUUACC